AUGACCCUCUGGACGCUGGAGGGCGCGGUGGAGGCCAUUGGGGACAAGGUGAUCGUCGACCGGCUGGACAGCCGCACGCACGAGCGCGCCGACACCAAGCUUUUUGCGUGCUGGAUCUGGUGCUGGGACACCGCCCACAUCCCAACCAGGCGUACCAUCUGGAAGCAUGCUAGGAGGGCGGGCCGCGUCGACAAGAUGUUGGGCUACUCCCCUCCGAGCCGUGCGGUGGCGCCCCCUCCCGAGCUGCUGCAGUACGACCUCCUGCUGCAGCUCGACCGCGUCGAAGACUGGACGCCGCUCUCGCCGCGGUCGUCCCGUACGCCCCAGAGCGGCAUCCCCUCGGACGACGACGAGCCUGAUGAGCGCCCAUACCCCGCGUCGAGCCGGGUGUCUGGACGCCUCGGGUGGAAGAUGGCAGACGCGGCCCUGAGCCCGCGCUGUCCAUGCGUUCGCAACCCGUGUGGCGGCUACGGGCUGCCGGGGCAUGCCUUCAGGCGAGGCCAGGCGUGGCCGCAAUGA
rnacentral:rRNA from 1 species